rnacentral:rRNA from 1 species
UACGAAGGGGGCUAGCGUUGCUCGGAAUCACUGGGCGUAAAGCGCACGUAGGCGGCUUUCUAAGUCAGGGGUGAAAUCCUGGAGCUCAACUCCAGAACUGCCUUUGAUACUGGAGAGCUUGAGUCCGGGAGAGGUGAGUGGAACUCCGAGUGUAGAGGUGAAAUUCGUAGAUAUUCGGAAGAACACCAGUGGCGAAGGCGGCUCACUGGCUCAUUACUGACGCUCAGGCGCGAUAGCGUGGGGAUCAAACAGG